AGCGAACGCUGGCGGCAGGCUUAACACAUGCAAGUCGAACGCCCGGGCAACCGGGAGUGGCAGACGGGUGAGUAACGCGUGGGAACAUACCCUUUGGUUCGGAAUAACUCAGGGAAACUUGAGCUAAUACCGGAUAAGCCCUUAUGGGGAAAGAUUUAUCGCCGAAGGAUUGGCCCGCGUCCGAUUAGCUAGUUGGUGAGGUAACAGCUCACCAAGGCGACGAUCGGUAGCUGGUCUGAGAGGAUGAUCAGCCACACUGGGACUGAGACACGGCCCAGACUCCUACGGGAGGCAGCAGUGGGGAAUAUUGGACAAUGGGGGCAACCCUGAUCCAGCCAUGCCGCGUGAGUGAUGAAGGCCCUAGGGUUGUAAAGCUCUUUCGGCGGGGACGAUAAUGACGGUACCCGCAGAAGGAGCCCCGGCUAACUUCGUGCCAGCAGCCGCAGUAA
rnacentral:rRNA from 1 species